UCCUCAACUAAAGUUACUGACUCAAUAAUAGAUUCAUUUAAACCACAAUAUAAAGUGAAAAAACAACUUUUUUGUAAAUAUCUGCAACUAAAGGCAAAGUCCUUGCAUGUUUAUUCAUGCACCACGAUGAGUCCUUUCAGUGCACAUUCAGUAGUCACAUUUCGUGGAUCUCAAGGGAGGGGAUAGGCUCCCAGCAGUAUCUGUCAUUUGCAAUACCAGUAAGGAACGAUGAUCAAAAACAAGCAGAAGAAUUUUGGAAAGUUUUUAUUAAGCAUCUAGUAGAAAACAUAAUUCUUCUAAAAAAAAAGAUUCUUGCAGGGUACAUACAGCAAACAUACAGGUUCUACGAGGUUUUACUGGCUCAAGUUGCAGUUUAAGCCUCUGCCUCUCUCUGACUUGCCAGACAAAACCCUGCUUGACAUCUUACCAAGCUUCUUGCCAUGUUUCCACUCCCCUGAGGUUGCCAUUUUCUAGCACAUGCUCUCCAGAAUGGAUCCUAGGGGUAUUAAUGUGAAGCUAUUAGCUGACAGCAUUUUGAACCUUUCAAAAAUAGUUGAGAAUUUGUCCUCUACAAGCUCCAACACUGGGCCUCUAGGGUCACAUCAUUUAACAAAACAAGGACACCGCAAUUCUGCUACUGAACAGGUAUGUUUAUGUUACAAUAUGUGAACACAAAACAUUUAUUUGUAUUUCCCAUAGAAAAAAUAAAAGUAGGCCCGAACUGUCAAUGCAGACGUAUGGGUUAUGUCCAG